rnacentral:rRNA from 1 species
UACGUAGGGGGCUAGCGUUGUCCGGAAUCAUUGGGCGUAAAGCGCGUGUAGGCGGUCCGGUAAGUCCGCUGUGAAAGUCGAGGGCUCAACCCUCGAAUGCCGGUGGAUACUGUCGGGCUUGAGUACGGGAGAGGCGAGUGGAAUUCCUGGUGUAGCGGUGAAAUGCGUAGAUAUCGAGAGGAACACCUGCGGCGAAGGCGGGUUGCUGGGCUGACACUGACGCUGAUGCGCGAAAGCCAGGGGAGCGAACGGG